rnacentral:rRNA from 1 species
UCUGGCGACCGGCGCACGGGUGAGUAACACGUAUCCAACCUGCCGAUAACUCGGGGAUAGCCUUUCGAAAGAAAGAUUAAUACCCGAUGGCAUAAUUAGACCGCAUGGUUUGAUUAUUAAAGAAUUUCGGUUAUCGAUGGGGAGUGCGUUCCAUUAGGCAGUUGGUGAGGUAACGGCUCACCAAACCUUCGAUGGAUAGGGGUUCUGAGAGGAAGGUCCCCCACAUUGGAACUGAGACACGGUCCAA